GGUUAAGUUAACAAAACUAUUAUCCUUCAAAGAUAAAUUUACUAUAUAGGUACCUUUAAAUCU
rnacentral:tRNA from 1 species